UACGGAGGGGGCGAGCGUUAUUCGGAAUUAUUGGGCGUAAAGGGCUCGUAGGCGGUCCGUCACGUCGGGCGUGAAAACUCAGGGCUCAACCCUGAGCGUGCUUCCGAUACGGGCGGACUAGAGGUAUGCAGGGGAGAACGGAAUUCCUGGUGUAGCGGUGGAAUGCGCAGAUAUCAGGAGGAACACCGGUGGCGAAGGCGGUUCUCUGGGCAUUACCUGACGCUGAGGAGCGAAAGCAUGGGGAGCGAACAGG
rnacentral:rRNA from 1 species